CACACACACUGACACAUCUGGGCAAAGAGAUAAAAUAAAUUAUUUUUCGGAAAUAACUAACUUAUGGAGAACAAUGAAUAAAAAUUAUUCAAAAGUGUGAGAAGCUCGAAAAAUAUUCCCGGAUGCUCACCAGCAGAGUGGCUGUAAUAAGAAUUUCAAAUUUAAAAAAAUCCCCCAAAUAGAAAAGAGUAGACUGAGUGAGAAGACACUGAGAGAGGAUGAGGAUGGGCAUCGUACAGACACACAUAUUUGGGGCAAGCAGAGCUUUUUUUUUUAGCUCCUAGCCAGGAUUGCAGUAGUUGGUUUGAGAUGCAGAUAAGCGAACUCAAUGAAGAUUCAAGCCCAUCUCCGGCUCUGUCUCUUAUGCAUGUUAAACAAAACAAUCAAGACACACAAUAUCCAAGUCCUACUCCCGCCUCUGCCUGCCAAGUCCCCAAUGCGGAAUGAAGUCGGGACGUGGCCAAUACGAGUGUCUGUGUGGUUAGUCAAUAAAAAUGCUGCCCAAAUGGAAUUAACACGCACUCGACCAGAUCACCAGCUGCAGCAAACGAAUCUCAGGUUUUUUCGUUUGCUUUGCCUCGGCUCUGCUCUGCUUUACUUUUUGUAGUUUCCGUUUUGUCGUUUUCCGUUUUUACUGCCUGCUGUUGCGCUGCGGCAAACAAUUUCAAUUUAAAUUGCCAGCUUUGCUUACCUUUUUGCCGUGCUCUGGGCACACUUAUCAGUGUCAAUAAAAGUCCAAGGGGAACGCUUCUGCCAAAGGAAGCAGCCCCAAAUGGAGAGACAGAAGACGCAAGAAGCAGAGGCAGCUGUGACGCAUGCAGCUGAAAAAAGUGCAAGUCGGAGCGGAGAGAGGAGUACGAGUAGAUAAUGGCCUGGAAUAGGCACGGGAGCGAGCUGCUGCCCACAUGAAUGCUGCUCCAACUUGGGCUUAAAGUGACCGAGCGGAAUGUGAAGCGGCUGGUUGGAAAAGUUGAUUAUGACAGAAACAAUGCAGGCGAAAGAGUAUGACUGCUAUAAAUGAUUUGCUGGAACAAAUUCUAGUGACUGAAUUUAGUGAAUUGUGACACUGAAUGUUUAUUUGUGACUUUUAAUGACUAUUCCCAAUUCAUGGCUCUGAGUGGUUAGAGAAUAUAUGAAAAUAGUUCAUAAUGAAAUGGGGUAAAAUU